rnacentral:rRNA from 1 species
ACGCGAGAACUUACCAGGUCUUGACAUCCCUCUGACCGGCUUAGAGAUAAGCCUUUCCUUCGGGACAGAGGUGACAGGUGGUGCAUGGUUGUCGUCAGCUCGUGUCGUGAGAUGUUGGGUUAAGUCCCGCAACGAGCGCAACCCUUGAACUUAGUUGCCAGCAGGUUAAGCUGGGCACUCUAAGUUGACUGCCGGUGACAAACCGGAGGAAGGCGGGGAUGACGUCAAAUCAUCAUGCCCCUUAUGACCUGGGCUACACACGUACUACAAUGGCCGGUACAACGGGAAGCGAAGGAGCGAUCCGGAGCCAAUCCUAGAAAAGCCGGUCUCAGUUCGGAUUGCAGGCUGCAACUCGCCUGCAUGAAGUCGGAAUUGCUAGUAAUCGCGGAUCAGCAUGCCGCGGUGAAUACG